AGCAGAUACAACAUAGGAUGGGAUGUUACAGAAAAAAAGAUGGGCAAAUUGAAAACACUCCUUUUGGGGACUGUGAAUUAUGAAAACAGAUCAUAGGAGCUAAUCCAAGCACCUGUGUUUGUCACAUACAUGUUCAUGUCAAGGGCCCACUGUCUGAUAAGACUGAUUGGAGUCAAGCUGUUGGUGAAGCCUGUACUUUCCUGAUGGACACCACUGCCGCCUGAGUGCAUCACUGGAUUAGACCUACUACCAAGGAAUGGGCAGCUUUGCUGCCUUUUGCCCACCAUGAACUACUUCU